GUUGGUCUCAAGCCCCAGUCUUACCCAGCAACUUCCCAUUUUUAUUUGAAGGUCUCCUAGAAGCCUGGCCAAAGUGGAAGAAUCUCUCUCUCUCUCAAAACUGAUUGAUAUAAAUAUGAAUUUAUGUUACUGAAGAACAAAAAGACUGGAGUCACCUGUCUGUCUCAUCGCCUGAGGUGGCUAAACCCAAGGCACAGUCUUGAUGUGGGUGGACACACGCCGUUUUCCUUCUGCAUUCCAAUCGUUGGAACUCCUACCGAAACAGAAUUGGACUGGGCAAGACUCACUAAGCCUCUUAGUAAAUAAUGGCAUGUGACUUCAAGUCAGGCUGAGUAAGACCUGGCACUGCCCAUCGAUCCUUGAAUGAAAGUUCCAUUUAUGAAUUUCUGGAACAAAUAACUGUGGUACUACGCAACACAGUAGAUAAGCAGGCACUCCUGUUACUGGAUGAAGAGCACUGCUGGGAGCCACAAGUAGACGCAGGCAGAGCAAGGACACAGCUUCUUCUGGGCCUAGGUGUCCCUAUGUGUGCUACUUCCUUUACCAGGUGUGAUCUAUUGACAUUCAAGCUAAGGCAGAUAAAAAGCCUUAGGUCAACUAUGAAGUUGAAUGCAUUCACAAACUACCAGUGUGAUUGCUGAACCUGAUGAGAUUAGUACAAUUCUUGGCUUUGACCAACAUAGAAACCUUUAUAUGGGAAGUGGGUCUCAAAUAAACCAAGUUGUUGCCAAUAAAUUAAAUGAUCUGUGUGUUAAAGGGAAAGGGAAGGCGCUGUUGGGAGAAACAUACUCUUUAUAAUUUAAUACAUAGGGAUUGAAAACAGGAAAUAUUUCAGUUAUGAAAACAAAAGAAGCCCAUAUGCCAUAAUAUUUAAACAGAAUGGGGUGGUCCAAAGGUAAUUAGGUUGAGUAGGAUGAGAAUAAGAAAGUUAAAACUAAUAUUUCGUCCUCCAUCUAUAUCCAGUUUAUGAGUAUAUAGAAACAGUGUAGUGUUUCUCAAACUGGAGUGAUACAUGGAGUCUUU